rnacentral:rRNA from 1 species
CAGUCGCCACGGGAAUACGUAGGGUGCAAGCGUUAAUCGGAAUUACUGGGCGUAAAGCGUGCGUAGGUGGUGGUUUAAGUCCGUUGUGAAAGCCCUGGGCUCAACCUGGGAAUUGCAGUGGAUACUGGGUCACUAGAGUGUGGUAGAGGAUAGUGGAAUUUCCGGUGUAGCAGUGAAAUGCGUAGAGAUCGGAAGGAACAUCUGUGGCGAAGGCGACUAUCUGGGCCAACACUGACACUGAGGCACGAAAGCGUGGGGAGCAAACAGGAUUAGAUACCCCUGUAGUCCCUGUCUCUUAUAA